AAGAGAGUGCAAGAGAACGUGAAACCGUUAUAGUGGAAGCAGAUAGAGUUGACGUAUCUAGUAUGUAUUCAGUUUUCGGGCUGGGCAAUUUGGGUUGUAAAGUUCUGCAAAGUCUUUUAUUCUCAUUGUUGUUUAGUUUGUAAAUGCAUUUGCAUACCGAGUGCGCCGAAUCGGUUGAAUUUGCCGUUUGAUAGUUUUAUAGAGGACUAACUUGUUGGAACCCUGUAAAACUUUAUGACGGAUGAAUUUGGCUGUCAAAUUGAGUUGGUUUUUCGUGAUAAUAGUUGUGAAUUGGAGUUGUUUUUGUACGAUGCAUGCGUUUUGCAGUUAUGGCUUUAAUUCACAGCUCUUAUUGCUCUGCUCUUUAUUCGGUGUUUAGUCAAUCACCUACCUGACCCGUCUUGAAACACGGACCAAGGAGUUUAAGGUGUACGCAAGUCAUUGAUUGUUUAAAGUCAUAGGCGUAAUGAAAGUGGGACACUUGGUGUCUGUGAUGUGAGCUUUUUUUGUUUCGACGAACUAAGCGCAACAUCGACCCAUGACUAGGGCUUGCUCUGUUGUGGAGUCUGAGCGUACGCUUUGAGACCCGAAAGAUGGUGAACUAUGCCCGAACAGGACGAAGUCAGAGGAAACUCUGAUGGAAGUCCGAAGCGGUUCUGACGUGCAAAUCGAUCGUCUGAUUUGGGUAUAGGGGCGCAAGACUAAUCGAACCAUC
rnacentral:rRNA from 1 species